AUUUCAUCAGGUUUAUUAUGCUGGUUCCACUUUGCAUUGGGCAGAACUGCACUGCAUUGUGUAUGAUGUAUUUUGGUCACUUUAUUUAGAUACUUGAGGUUUGCAAACAGCAUGAUUCAGUGUACCAAUCAUCGAUGAAUCAAUAACGGAGAUAUAUUUAUUUCAAGAAGCAGAAAUGUUUUCAUGAUGUUUUUCAGAAAGCAAACUAGUUGAGAAUGGAUCAACAGCUGUCAUUAAUGUGGUGAUUCAGUCACCUGACGUCUGUGCUGGCAGUUUGGGUUCAGUCCCACUCAGUGAUGGUGUGAAUGUGAGAGUGAAUGGUUGUCUGUCUCAACAUUUUCUCAGUGAUUGACUUGCAGUGUUUUGCCUAAUAUCAGUUGGGAUAGGCUCCAGCUCUCUGCAACCCUCCCAGGAUAAGAUGUGUAGAAAAUGGAUGAUUGGAUUGCAUGUUCUCCCCGUGCCUACGUGGGUUUUCUCCGGGUACUCCGGUUUACUCUCACAUCCCAAAAACAUACGUGGUAGAUUGAUUGAAGACUCAAAAUUGCCCGUAGGUGUGAAUGUGAGUGCGAAUGGUUGUUUGUUUCUGUGUGCCCUGCGAUUGGCUGGUGACCAGUUCACGGUGUACCCCGCCUCUCACCUGAAGACAGCAUACCUGCGACCCGAGUGAGGAUAAGCGGUACAGAAAAUGGAUGGAUGGAUGAAUCAACACUGCCUCAGUAUUACCGGCUGCCUGGAAACACACCAAUCCAACAGAUGGCAACAUUGCUCCUUCGUCAUCGCAGCAGAUUUGGCGAUGCACCAGUGAGAAGUGAUGACUGGCGAACAGCAGCGGCCACUGUACCGUGACCAGUCAGUGCUCACGCCUCCGACUGUAGCGUGGCCGAUAACGACGCAAGCAUGUGCAUUGGUCUUCACUCCCACACAGGCUGUUGCUCAAUGACAGUGAAGUGACAAGUCCUGACGAUAGCGACAUGAUACGUGUUCUUCUGAACAAAAUUUGUCAGUGACGCACGUCACUGUGCCACCUGUCACCGUACUCCCGCUACUCCUCACCAUACCUGUCACAACAAAAAUGAACUUCUCGUUCCCUGUAACCCCAGAUAUUCCUGCUUGGGUCUCAUAUUUAGUUUGUUCAAAGGUUUAAAAAAAUAGAUAUAAUAAUAUAAUCCAUAUAAAUAUUUUUCUGGAGAUGCAUUAUUGUGGGAGAGGAUGAAAUGCAUCCCUGAAUACAAUCUCUGCUCUUUCAUUAUCUUUACAGGACAAUCUGUUUCUGCAACGUCUUAGGCAGAGUGUGUUAAAUUAGGGGGCAAUAUGACAAGCCUUCUUAACGUUUAAGAGCGAGACUGGAUAAAUGUUGAAGAUAUCUGUAAUUCAAAUUUGCCUAGUCAAAAAGAACAUUAGCGAUAUCCGUAACUUGAUUCUUCCUCUCCACAAUUAGCAUUUCUGAUGUCGUCAACGUCAAUUCGCCUUGGACAGAUUACAUCACUUUUGCCAUUCAUGUGUAUGGGGUUUUUCAUUACGAUAUCUACAAUUCAAUUCCGGAUAUCCACUAUGUGAAUUAUGGAGAUCUACAACGGAAUUGUACAUAUCUCGAACUCCAGUUUGAGAUAUCUACAAUUUGAUUCUGACUAGUCAUAAUUCCAGUUCAAGAUAUGUCUAAUUAAGCUCAAUUCAAGAUACAGUAUCUACAUGUCCCUUUAUAUCCUAAAUCAAGUUUUCACUAGGUGAAAUCAAUAUGUAGAUAUCUGUAACUUGAAUUAUUGCUAUUCAAUAUCAAAUUGCAGAUACAGUAUCUCAAACGGGAGUUACAGAUAUCUACAAUUCCAUUGCAGAUAUCUGUAAUUCACAAGCAGAUAUUGUCGUAGAUACAGUAUCUGUAAUGACGAAUCCCAUACACAUGAAUGGCAAAAGUGACGUUAUUUGUCCUAGGCAAAAUGACGUGGAAGAUAACUAAUUCAGUUUUGACUGUAGGCAAAAUGUAAUUACAGAUACAGUAUCUCAAUCUGCCGUUUCAACUAGUAAAAAUUUGGUUGCAGAUAUUUUGACUAAAAUUUUGACUAUUCAAAAUGUAAUUACAACUAGUCAGAAUGGUGUUGUUGAUAUCUACUAUGUUUCCUAUAGUGAGUCUUUACAGUGUUCCAAAAUAAGUGAAUGAAGGUUUUCUGUGGACUUUUUAUUUUUUUUUAUCUGUCCUGUUCAGCUGCAUGGCCUUGCAGAAUGGUGCAUCUGUAUGCUUUUGUGCUGGAACAGUUUUUCUGUGCAACAGGGGAGUUUGAAAUACUCCCUUUUCUUAUUUAAUUAAAAAAAAAAUAUUAUUAUGAUGUUUAUUGAAAAUGCAGCCAGACAGAAAAGGGUUUUAGGGGACAGACAGAGGUAUAAAGUGGACAAGGGGACUAAGGGUGAGAACCACAGCAGAACAAUAGUGAGACAGUCUAGAUAUUUGAACACAAGUAACAUUACAGACAUAAAAGACAUUUGUAGAUUGAGGGGGGUGGGGGGUUUGGGAGGCGCGACACACCCGGUGAGGACAUGUAACAACUAAUCAAAAGAACCAGAUAAGAGAUGACAGAAAUGGGACAGGACAGGAUGUGGGAAAAUGAGCAAGGCAGUACUACUGUCGAGUGGUGCGGUGGGAUUCUAGUGUCUAAACACCUGUAAGAACCUGUGAGUUGAUGUUAGUAUAACCUGUGUUGUUAGUGAUCCAUCCAUCCAUUUUCUGAGCCGCUUCUCCUCACUAGGGUCGCGGGCGUGCUGGAGCCUAUCCCAGCUAUCAUCGGGCAGGAAGCGGGGUACACCCUGAACUGGUUGCGAGCCAAUCGCAGUGUUAGUGAUCCCAGCACAAGUAAUUAAAGCCUAUAGUGUGUCUAUCGAACUUAGUGAAUGAACACCAUAUCACAUGCAUGUUAGUCAACUGGUGUAAGGAGUUGCUGAGCUGGCACAUCGAGGAAGUGGGGGCUGAGCGAGCCCGUCCUGCAGGGCGCCACCGACCCCCUAGAACCCAGGGAGGUCCCGAGCCAGUCCCAAAGGGAGGGGCACUGGACCACCGCCCCCCCGAAUGAGAUAUGAGUGUGCCCAAUGUGCGGAGUAUGUACAGUGUGAGUACUAAAAAUGUGCACUAAAUAUAUGUCUUGGAAGCUCUCUCUCUCUCUCUCUCUCUCUCUCUCUCUUUCUGUGCAGCAGUCUGAUUUCAGGGGGAAACAGAAGACUUAGCUUUCACUGUUGGCUGUUCAAGAGCAGGACAAAGCUAAUUGGACAGCUGGUGUUGAGCGAAUUUAUGCCCUCAGUCUGCUGUUUUGCUGCUUUUUUACAUAAUGUAGACAUGAUUGUUGCCAUUGUAUGGCGCUUACGUCAUCGUCACAACUUGCCAUUUAAUUUAAUGACUAGUGCAAGUGUAAUCUGAUUAAAAGCAGAGCUUUCUUGCUUUGUAAAUGGUGCCUUAUCCACUCAACCAUUUGCAAUUAAGGCUCUUGUAAAAUGAAUUGUCAUCUCAAGAGGUAGUUGUUAAUUGUGUUAAUGAGAGAACGCAACUGCAGGAAAUAAAUGACUGCUCAUAUUUUGAUCAUCUAGUUUUCGGCAAUCAAACAAAAAAUCGGAACAACUGACGAGAUACACUAUUAUUACUCGUACAACACUACUCAUACGUUCUAUAAAAAUACAUUUCACCAAUAUAUAUAGUGGAUGCAGGACCCAAAGACAAACACGCAUUGAUGAAUACCAGUACACACGUUGCUUUUUCCUCCAAUCACAAAAUAAACAAGCACCAUAAAAAGUAGCCAGUUAAAUAAUAAUAAAUAAAAAUAAAAUAAAUUUUACCUGUGUGGAGAAAGACUAUAAAUUCUAUUUUUACAUUUUACUGGAUGAAAAUGAACACUGAGUAGAACUGCUUGUCAUUACAAAAGUAUGGACUAGCUUUUCUGAAUCUGCAAGAAAAGGAAUGUCACCUUUUUUUGAAUCUACAUUUUGUUUGGGGUGUCAAGCUCAUUUUUUCGGGCCACAUUGUAGUUACAGUUUCCCUCAGAGGGCCGUAAUAACUGUGAAAUCAUAUAAAUGUUUAAGUGCCUCAUCCUAUGAUAUAAUGUAUAAACAACAAAUUGAUGAAGAACUAGUUUUCAAAUCAAGGAUAGUUUUUUCAAUUAUUGUUGAAGUUACUCUAAAAAGGGAUUUGGUAACAAAAAAGAUGCUUGCAAUAAUCUCAACAUUACUAUUCAUGACAGAAGACAAUUUGAAAUUUGGUACAGAUGUUAGCAAGAAUUGUGGAAUUUGUCGAACAUGAUUUGCUUUCGCAGGCUACAUAAAAUGAUGUGGCGCCUGGGGCUUGAGUUUGACACCUGUAAUGGAGGUGAAAAUAGUUCAUCCUCGACAUUUGUUUUGUGUGGGAGGGUAUUGUUGUUAGAGAGGAUAUGUAAAAUGUAGCCUGUUAGUCAUCUUGUGGAGAUGAUACAAUCGUACGGUUUGCAAUCUAUCACUUUUACAGUAAUGGUGACACCAACUAGUGAUUGACUGCACCUGCGGCUCCAUUUUACUUGAGCAUGUUGGAAGCGUAGGCAGAAACAGGAAAUGUCGACAAAACCAACUAAUUCAUGUGGAGAACAUGCAAAGCCCACACAGAGCCAGCUGAAGGCUUGCUGGAAACCUUUUGAUCGUUGAUGCUUUGCGGUAUGUUAAGUGUGUUGAAUCUAUGAUGCGCACACAAUUAGCAAUAAUUGAGCCACAGUGACCUUUUGAUUUUCAUGUUUACAUGCUCUCUCAUGCCGGGUCUUGAAUUUGACCAUCUUUAUUAUGGGACUGAAUGAAACUUUUUCCAGGAACAUGAAUGCAAGAUGAGUACUGGUAAAAAUGAUACCUAUUAACAAUCUACCAAGAACAUUUUGUGAGGAUUGUUUUCAUAUUUAGCUGAGUAGCGGAAUGAUCCCCAUAGAGAUCCAUGGUAGUAUGGGUCUAUUUAUCUCUCACUGUUCACAUUCAUUUCCUGUUUAGGUAAGGGCACAUAAAAUUAACUGGAUUUUCACAAAACCUGUGGUGUAUUAGAUGGGCCAUUGAAGAAUCUAAGAGUGUGUGCUAUGUAUCUGAAUAAGGAUAUAGAUACACCAAAUAUAUAUUUUGCUGCCAUUUCACAAUUCAAUGUAGCCACCCACAUUUCAAAAUUAGAAUGACACUGCGCCUCUGUUCUCCAUUCUCCCUGACUAGCUCAGAAAGUUUACUGACUGUUUUUCUUGUUCAGGGUCACGAGGAGCCGGAGCCUAUCCCAACUGACUUCAGAAAGACUAGACACAGCUUGGGUCACCAGCUAAUCACAGAGCACACAGAAAUAGACAACCACACACGCACUCACAUUCUCACCAUCACUGAGUAUACAAGUAUAUUUUCUCUCAUUUUGCCACCGUCAUUUGCCCAUUUUAAAGAUGAAUUGUUAGUUUAAAAAUACAGUGGGGACGGAAAGUAUUCAGACCCCUUAAAUUUUUCACUCUUUGUUAUAUUUCAGGCGGCACGGUGGGCGACUGGUUAGAGCGUCUGCCUCACAGCUCUGAGGAGCGGGGUUAAUCCCCGUCCAGAACAAUGGUGAGUGUGGUAAGGAAGUGAAGAAACGGGUCCGAGCAGGUUGGAACGGGUGGAGGAAGGUGUCAGGUGUGUUAUGUGACAGAAGAGUCUCUGCUAGGAUGAAGGGAAAAGUUUAUAAAACAGUGGUGAGGCCAGCCAUGAUGUACAGAUUACGGAUUAUGUGCGGGUACUAGACUGGCCUGCCUGCGGUCCAGGCCUGUCUCCCUUUAAAAAUGCGUGGCACGUAAAAUACGACAACGGAGACCCCGGACUGUUGAACAGCUGAAGCUGUACAUCAAGCAAGAAUGGGAAAGAAGUCCACCUACAAAGCUUCAACAAUUAGUGUCCUCAGUUUCCAAACGUUUAUUGAAUGUUGUUAAAAGAAAAGGUGAUGUAACACAGUGGUAAACAUUACCUUGUCCCAUCUUUUUUGGAACGCGUUGCAGCCAUAAAAUUCCAAGUUAAUGAUUAUUUGCUAAAAACAAUAUAGUUUAUCAGUUUGAACAUUAAAUAUCUUGUCUUUGUAGUGUAUUCAAUUAAAUAUAGGUUGAACAUGAUUUGGUUUUUAUUUAUGCUUAACACAACGUCGCAACUUCAUUGGAAUUUGGGUUGUACAUCUUCAAUGGACCUGAAACAGUCGCAUGGCAUCUUGACACCAAGGAGAAGUUUCUUGGGAGAGCAAUCCGAUGAGCUCUGCAGGGGGAAUAGAAAUGAAACAAUCGGCACUAAGUGUGUGAGUAAUGCCAUUGUCAAGCUGUUGUCAAGCUGUGCGCUGUGAAUUCACGAUACAUCACAGUUUGCUUUUCCGUCGCUUCCUCCGCUUUUAAAACCACGAGCAAAACUAGUUUCUUGGCACGACUGCAUAUUAAUGAUCGUAGAUGUUGCCAGAGUCAUGCAGCAUUUGUUAGUCUCUACUGAUUAGUAGAGGAAAUACCUCAGAAUCAUAGUGAAAGCAUGACAAUUGGAUUCAAUGCGUCUGACAGUAACAGAAUUAUACUGAAGGCUUUAUAUUUGGGAGCUUUGUCUUUUCUCUGUCACUAAUUUUUAAUUAAAAUUUGAUUUAGUUACACCCUGUAACCUACCUCCAUGUGAGAGUCCACAAACAACUGAAUCAGAAGUUGAUUUAUGACUGUAGAGAAGGAUCUUAAUGACUUCACGUCAACGCUGUACUUCAUAUGAGGACUCCCGAAGAACCCUUCAGUGAACAGCGGUGCGAUUGAGAACAAGUGAGACAGUAGAGGAUUCAAUAAGCGAUAUACUGAGAAUUGUGUGUCAUUGUAUAGUGUUUAAUUAAUUAAUCAUUCAUACUUAAAUGAGCCUGAGUAAGCUACUUCGUGUAAGAUGUGUUGUCCAUGAUGUAGUCUAGAUACCACUUGUGCUGAUGGGAGAGAGCGCUCCUUUUAUGGAUGGAAUAUAUUGUUACAGAAUAAAGAUUUCAUACCACUGCUAUUGUGCUUUAAAAUAUUUAUUUUUCUUAUUAUUCUCAAUAUCAAUCUCAAUUCUUAUUAUUCUCAAUAAUUCACAUAAAUGCUUGUGUAAAUACAGUAUGCUUAAUCAAUAUUCUUGUGCUUGGGUCAAGGGCCUAUGGAGACAUUCCAAUUUCUUAACCAGUAGUGUGUGAGAAUAGCUGAUCUAUGGUGCAAUGAUACACACUGCAGUAUAAUGGCAAUUCCCAAGCACCAAUAGAGUUUGAAGUAAUUCUCUUAGCAAUUGAGAAAAUGAACAUUUCUGUUACAUUACGGCAUGCCGAUAGAAAGUACAUUUUCUAUCAUUAAAGUGUAUCUUGCUACCUUCAAAAUGACAAAAAAAAACCUAAAUGUUUGUUACCAACACACCACUGCGUUGUUAUAGUACAAAGGUACAACAGAGUAGGGAUAUACAGUAUCUUCUCUAAGUCCUGACAAUUAAAACUUGUUGAACCACAGUUACUGUGCAAAACGUAAAGAAUGGCUAACAGUCAUGUUUUUACACACAAUCAGCCACCAUGCUGGUAUAUACAGUAAUGGUAUACACUUACAGAGUUAUCCCCAGUGUAAAGUUCAGUUGCAUUGAAACAGAUGAAGAGGCUUUGUCUCAAAGGGUUUAAAGCUGUCAAGAACAAAAAACCUUCCACAUCAAUAGAAGUUGGUCUGUUUUCACCACUUGGUAUUUGCUGUGGAAUACUGCUUUUAUUAUAAUUUUACACCAAGCUAGAGGACAAAAAUUUGUUCAUGAAGGAUGCAUUUGAUACACUUGUGAUUCAUGUUUUACCAUUUAGCAAGCUGUGAGUAGGCACAUAA